GAUGAACGCUGGCGGCGUGCCUAAUACAUGCAAGUCGAGCGAACAGACGAGGAGCUUGCUCCUCUGACGUUAGCGGCGGACGGGUGAGUAACACGUGGAUAACCUACCUAUAAGACUGGGAUAACUUCGGGAAACCGGAGCUAAUACCGGAUAAUAUAUUGAACCGCAUGGUUCAAUAGUGAAAGACGGCUUUGCUGUCACUUAUAGAGGGAUACGCGCCGCAUUAGCUAGUUGGUAAGGUAACGGCUUACCAAGGCAACGAUGCGUAGCCGACCUGAGAGGGUGAUCGGCCACACGGGAACUGAGACACGGUCCAGACUCCUACGGGAGGCAGCAGUAGGGAAUCUUCCGCAAUGGGCGAAAGCCUGACGGAGCAACGCCGCGUGAGUGAUGAAGGUCUUCGGAUCGUAAAACUCUGUUAUUAGGGAAGAACAAAUGUGUAAGUAACUAUGCACGUCUUGACGGUACCUAAUCAGAAAGCCACGGCUAACUACGUG
rnacentral:rRNA from 1 species